GACGAACGCUGGCGGCGUGCCUAAUACAUGCAAGUAGAACGCUGAAGAGAGGAGCUUGCUCUUCUUGGAUGAGUUGCGAACGGGUGAGUAACGCGUAGGUAACCUGCCUUGUAGCGGGGGAUAACUAUUGGAAACGAUAGCUAAUACCGCAUAACAAUGGAUGACCCAUGUCAUUUAUUUGAAAGGGGCAAAUGCUCCACUACAAGAUGGACCUGCGUUGUAUUAGCUAGUAGGUGAGGUAACGGCUCACCUAGGCGACGAUACAUAGUCGACCUGAGAGGGUGAUCGGCCACACUGGGACUGAGACACGGCCCAGACUCAUACGGAAGGCAGCAGUAGGGAAUCGUCGGCAAUGGGGGGAACACUGAACGAGCAACGCCGCGUGAGUGAAGAAGGGUUUCGGAUCGUAAAGCUCUGUUGUAAGUCAAGAACGAGUGUGGGAGUGGAAAGUUCACACUGUGACGGUAGCUUACCAGAAAGGGACGGCUAACUACGUG
rnacentral:rRNA from 1 species